rnacentral:rRNA from 1 species
UACGUAGGGUGCAAGCGUUGUCCGGGAUUAUUGGGCGUAAAGAGCUCGUAGGCGGUCUGUCGCGUCGGAUGUGAAAAUCCAGGGCUCAACCCUGGACCUGCAUUCGAUACGGGCAGACUAGAGUUCGGUAGGGGAGACUGGAAUUCCUGGUGUAGCGGUGAAAUGCGCAGAUAUCAGGAGGAACACCGGUGGCGAAGGCGGGUCUCUGGGCCGAAACUGACGCUGAGGAGCGAAAGCGUGGGGAGCAAACAGG